GGGGUAGACGUGGAUUUGACAGCAUGAUGAAUAGGUAUGUAAGCACGUCGGGCGUGGUGAGGCUGGCCCGUUAAUCCCGGACACAAAACAAUAAUUGGCGAAAACAAUUACGCUCUCGCUGCCUAAUCGAAUCACAGUAGAGAAGGCUUAAUCCCUACCCGGCGGGCGGGGACGAGACAUUCCACCGGGGGUCCCGCCUUGUACCACCCGGGUUCGGGGUGCAGGUAACACGAGGAUAGCUCGCGUCAGGCCCGGGGCGCGAGUGAAAUUCAGGAGCUAAGGCGAUGCUUGGGUGCUUUUCCCCGUGUAGCGCACGAAAAACAAUGAAAAGAUAAGCGUGUAGAAAGCAUAUUGAUUCCAUGUUUGGACCGGGGUUCGAUUCCCCGCUACUCCACGA
rnacentral:tmRNA from 1 species